AGGCUGAUAAGUUAAUUUAAACUGUGGGGUUCAUGUCCCCUUAAUAUGCAUUUUGCAUUUGGCUGA
rnacentral:tRNA from 2 species